rnacentral:rRNA from 1 species
UACGUAGGGUGCAAGCGUUGUCCGGAAUUAUUGGGCGUAAGGAGCUCGUAGGCGGUCUGUUACGUCGGCUGUGAAAACCCGGGGCUCAACCCCGGGCCUGCAGUCGAUACGGGCAGACUAGAGUGCGGUAGGGGAGACUGGAAUACCUGGUGUAGCGGUGAAAUGCGCAGAUAUCAGGUGGAACACCGGUGGCGAAGGCGGGUCUCUGGGCCGUAACUGACGCUGAGGAGCGAAAGCGUGGGGAGCGAACAGG